AUUGAACGCUGGCGGCAGGCCUAACACAUGCAAGUCGAACGGAGUGGCGGACGGGGGAGUAAUGCCUAGGAAUCUGCCUGGUAGUGGGGGAUAACGUCUGGAAACGGGCGCUAAUACCGCAUACUAUCAGAUGAGCCUAUGUCGGAUUAGCUAGUUGGUGGGGUAACGGCCUACCAAGGCGACGAUCCGUAACUGGUCUGAGAGGAUGAUCAGACACUCUGGAACUGAGACACGGUCAAGACUCCUACGGUAGGCAGCAGUGGGGAAUAUUGGACAAUGGGCGAAAGCCUGAUCCAGACAUGCCGCGUGUGUGAAGAAGGUCUUCGGAUUGUAAAGCACUUUAAGUUGGGAGGCGUUACCAACAGAAUAAGCACCGGCUAACUUCGUGCCAGCAGCCGCGGUAAUAC
rnacentral:rRNA from 1 species